rnacentral:misc_RNA from 1 species
UCUAGUUCGCACAGGUGAAAACGCGCACCUGAAGAGAAGCCCGCCACAGACAGAUGGAGACACAGAGAAACACUUGAGACAGGGAGAGGGCACGCUGGGGCUCGCCAGGACGACACGCUGUCGCCAUUUUUUUGUGUUUAUAUAUAUUGAGUGUUUUUAAUAUCCCUCUUUUGUAACGGCCUACCUUCGCCAGUGGAUUUCAUCUGUGACCUGUGAGGAUAUGAUAAGAUUUUGUAACCAUAGCCUUUGGAAAAAUCAGCAACUCAGUUGAUGUCGAUCCCUAUGUCAAUGAUGCAUGGUCUUCCAUCAAAAACAUAGCUGAAAAAGUGAAUUUUAAGACAGGUGAAGUGAAGCAAGAACGAUCGCUGGUGCAGAGAUGUCCUGGAUCUCGGUACCUCUACGCUGAACUCGCUAGCGGCUUGACUUCUUGUGCUUCGCUGCGGUGUCCACAACCACCCCUGUGACCCUCGAUUACCUCGCAUCUCAAGUCGCAGCGCUCUCUAAGGACAUACGGAGACUCAGCACGCGAACAGCAUCCCGAUCGAUUUAUCGGUCACGCUUCCGGACGCCAGCACCCACAAGCAGAGACCGAGACAACAGAGACCGGGGCUGCUGACGUUCCCCUCCGCCAUGACGGCGUAAAGAGGACCACACUCUCUGUUUUUAUCACUCUAGAUUAGAUCCCGCACUUAUCAGUGCGCCUCCUGGUAGGGAAACGAGCACUAGUGAAAAGAGGUUCCUCCUCUUCGUUCGAGAUGUCUCCUCCAUUUUUGUUUGCUCGUCAAAACAGGCACUGAGGUCAGCCUUCCCACCCUUCGCACCCUACAAACUGCCAACGUUUCGCCCAUCAUUGUUUACGGUGGUGAACCCAGCAAGCAGUUCCCUUGGGUCUUUCUCAUCGCUGAUGAGAUAUGUGACUAACUUCCUCGCCGCUUCAAUGUCAUUCCUAGCUCCGAUACCCUCAGAGACAUCUUCCUCAAAUUUCCAGCAGUGACCAAGCCGAUGAACCACGAGACGAAGCCGCCGCAUGGAGUUUAACAUCACAUCGUGACAGAAGGACCUCCUGCUCACUCCUGCUGCAGGCCGCGUCGUCAAGGCUGAGUUCGACUAUAUGAUGGAGCUCGGCAUCAUACGCCCUUCCUGUAGCCAGUGGGCAUCUCGUCAGGAUUGGAGCCCCUUUGUCGACUACCGUCAUCGCCACUGACAAAUACCCGCUGCCUCACCUUCAGACCUUCUUCAGUCACCAGAUAUCGGAGUCGAUCACCAUCGCAGACGAGGGUAUCCCCAAUAAUAACCCCCAAUGAUAACACCUUUCGUGCUCUUCGAGUUCAUACAGAUCGUUGUACAGACCUUCCAACGGUUCAUCGACGACGUGACACGCGGCCCUGAGGGCAUCUUUGUCUGUAUAGACAUUCUCGUCGCCAGCACCUUGAGCACAAGUCAUCCUCGUGCCCUAUUCAGCAGACUCCAAGAAGCCGACGUCGUCAUUAAUGCUGGGAAUUGCGUAUUUGGGGCCACAUCUCUCGCUUUCGUCGGGCACACCACCUCCGGCGACAUCAUCCCUUCACAGGAAAAGGUUUAUCUCCAGCCGUGCUCUUGCGAUCCGUCUCGUCGGCGAGGAACAUCAAUAGAACAGUUCUGUUACUGCCUUGAUAGGAGGCCAGAAUUCGCUCCGAAGACGUCUUCCUCUGGACGUUUCCUUAGGCUAUCGACGCCCAUACACCCCGCCCUCCGUCUGACGCCGUUUUGUCGACGCCUGCCACGAGCACUGCAGCAUCAGGGUCACCUAGCAUCUCAUCUGCAGUAAGGUCGUGUGGCCCGCCAUCAACAAGGACAUUAGACAGUGGGGCCGUACCUGCAUCGAGUGCCAGAAAAGCAAGGUCUAGAUGCACACUAAAUCUCCUCUUCAGAUUUUCCCCAUUCCAUUCCACCCUUGACAGGCACCCAUGCCUCACCUUCAGGCAUCGUUGGACAGCUGUCAUUAGAGGAGGGUUACUCUUACAUCCAGACCAUGAUCUAUCGCUGCACCAGAUGGCCCGAGGCUACGCCCAUCCUCAGCACCUACAUUUCCCGGAUUGGGACGCCUGCCACGGUGACUACCGACCGUGGCCCCCAGUUCAUUAGCACCCCUGUGCUAACGGCAUUGUGGAACACUUCCGUCGGCACAUGAAGCAGCCCCUUAUGUGCUGCUCCUCCGAUCGAUGAUGUCCUCCUCAACAUCUGUAUGUCCUUCAAGAUCUGCAGUGCUCCUUGCAGAUUUCGUCACCCAGACCAGCGACCAGACACCAAGAACCUACGGCAACCAACUCUGCAACCAUAUGGCAUAUAGUUUCGACCAAUGACCUUCGCCGCAACCCUACUGCGCCUUAUCAACCGGGCACGAGGAUAAAAGGAGCCGAUCCCGGCAGAAAAUCCUCCCUUGACAAUUAGGUCUCAAUCCGGCUCCUGUUCCCUAGCUACAUUGCUGUUUGCUUAUUCGCAUUCAAUAAAGAGAUAAACACCAA